GCCGGCGUCGUUCAAUCGGAUCAGGACGUCACCGUCCGAAGGUGAGGAUCGCGGUUCGAGUCCGCGCGCUGGUACCA
rnacentral:tRNA from 1 species